AGAGUUUGAUCAUGGCUCAGAAUCAACGCUGGCGGCGUGCCUCAGACAUGCAAGUCGAACGAUUAAGACUCUCUUCGGAGAGUGUAUAGAGUGGCGCACGGGUGAGUAACACGUAGGUAAUUUGCCUUCGGGUGGGGAAUAACUUGGGGAAACCCAAGCUAAUACCGCAUAAUGCAGCGGCACCAAAUGGUGACAGUUGUUAAAGCUUUAUGUGCCUGAAGAGAAGCCUGCGGUGGAUUAGGUAGUUGGUAAGGUAAUGGCUUACCAAGCCUGCGAUCCAUAUCCGGUCUUAGAGGACGGUCGGACACACUGACACUGAAUAACGGGUCAGACUCCUACGGGAGGCAGCAGUCGGGAAUUUUGGGCAAUGGGCGAAAGCCUGACCCAGCAACGCCGCGUGAAGGAUGAAGUCCUUCGGGAUGUAAACUUCGGAAGAAUGGGAAGAAUAAAUGACGGUACCAUUUUUAAGCCCCGGCUAACUCCGUGCCAGCAGCCGCGGUAAUACGGAGGGGGCAAGCGUUGUUCGGAUUUACUGGGCGUAAAGGGCGCGUAGGCGGCGCAACAAGUCACUUGUGAAAUCUCCGGGCUUAACUCGGAACUGCCAAGUGAUACUGUAGUGCUAGAGUGCAGAAGGGGCAAUCGGAAUUCUUGGUGUAGCGGUGAAAUGCGUAGAUAUCAAGAGGAACACCAGAGGCGAAGGCGGAUUGCUGGGCUGACACUGACGCUGAGGCGCGAAAGCUAGGGUAGCAAACGGGAUUAGAUACCCCCGUAGUCC
rnacentral:rRNA from 1 species